UGGGGAAUUUUGGACAAUGGGGGAAACCCUGAUCCAGCCAUCCCGCGUGUUCGAUGAAGGCCUUCGGGUUGUAAAGCACUUUUGGCAGGAAAGAAACGUCAUGGGUUAAUACCCCGUGAAACUGACGGUACCUGCAGAAUAAGCACCGGCUAACUACGUGCCAGCAGCCGCGGUAAUACGUAGGGUGCAAGCGUUAAUCGGAAUUACUGGGCGUAAAGCGUGCGCAGGCGGUUCGGAAAGAAAGAUGUGAAAUCCCAGGGCUCAACUUUGGAACUGCAUUUUUAACUACCGGGCUAGAGUGUGUCAGAGGGAGGUGGAAUUCCGCGUGUAGCAGUGAAAUGCGUAGAUAUGCGGAGGAACACCGAUGGCGAAGGCAGCCUCCUGGGAUAACACUGACGCUCAUGCACGAAAGCGUGGGGAGCAAACAGG
rnacentral:rRNA from 1 species